rnacentral:rRNA from 1 species
AUUGAACGCUGGCGGCAUGCCUUACACAUGCAAGUCGAACGGCAGCACGGGUGCUUGCAUCUGGUGGCGAGUGGCGAACGGGUGAGUAAUACAUCGGAACGUACCUUAUCGUGGGGGAUAACGCAGCGAAAGCUGUGCUAAUACCGCAUACGCCCUGAGGGGGAAAGCGGGGGAUCGCAAGACCUCGCGCGAUUAGAGCGGCCGAUGCCUGAUUAGCUAGUUGGUGGGGUAAAAGCCCACCAAGGCGACGAUCAGUAGCUGGUCUGAGAGGACGAUCAGCCACACUGGGACUGAGACACGGCCCAGACUCCUACGGGAGGCAGCAGUGGGGAAUUUUGGACAAUGGGGGCAACCCUGAUCCAGCAAUGCCGCGUGAGUGAAGGAGGCCUUCGGGUUGUAAAGCUCUUUUGUCAGGGAAGAAACACCGGCUCUAACACAGUCCGGGAAUGACGGUACCUGAAGAAUAAGCACCGGCUAACUACGUGCCAGCCGCCGCCGUAA